GAGGGUAUAGCUCAGGGUUAGAGUGCAUGCCUAGCAUGCCUGAGGUCCUGGGUUCAGCCCUCAGCACCUCCA
rnacentral:tRNA from 1 species